GCGAGGCUGUGGGGCCCGGCAGGAGAAGCAUUCCCCGGGGCCUUAUCAAUCCUAAAGGGAGCUGUCCCUGUGCGGGCUCGUGGGCUCGCGUAUACGGCGCCCACCUACUCUGUAGGUCUCCGGGAUUCGAUACUCCACCGGCUUUGCGGCCUCGCU
rnacentral:other from 1 species